AUGCUCACUUUGGCACCAGAUAUAUUAAAACUAGGAUGACAGGGAGAAUAGCAUGGCCCCUGUGCAAGGAUGACAUGCAAAUUCAUGAAGCAUUCAUAUUUUUU